UUACAGGUCAUGUGAUCGACGCGAGCCACCAGCAGGUCGGGUGUUUUUGUCUUUGUAGUGGUUGGCUGAAUUGUACUACGAUACCACACAUUGGUCGUGGAAUUUGUGUGGGAAAAUGACAGGGUAGACAGUGCUCAAUUGAAUUGAUAAGUUGUACAGUGAACAAGAAACAGUAAAGGAUACCAUAAUGUCCGAGGAACUUCGGCUUCACAGCCCGGCAGGUGCAGAACCUGCCAUUUACAAGUGGCCGCUACAGCACACGGAUAAAAUAGACGGGGCUCAUGAGAUUGUCGACACGAUAAGAUGGGUAUGUGAAGAGAUUCCAGAACUUAAGCUUGCAAUACAGCGCAACCAGGUCCUGAGUGACUAUGACACCAAGAGCUAUGAGAGUAUGCACAGCCUCUGUGAACGCUAUAACCGUGCCAUUGAUGCUAUCCUUCAAUUGAGGAAAGGGACUACAUGUGCUAACUUGCCCCCUAAACGUGCAUCAACAGAUCUCCUGAAACAUAUUCUACAACAGGUAUACAACCAUGCCAUUGUGGAUCCAGACAAACUUAACUGCUAUGAACCUUUCUCACCUGAGGUCUAUGGCGAAACUUCAUAUGAUCUUGUAGCCCAGAUGAUUGAGGAGGUAAAUCUAAACCCAGAAGAUAACUUUAUUGACCUUGGAAGUGGAGUGAGCCAGGUGGUUCUCCAGGUGGCUUCAGCUACUAACUGCAAGCUGGCUUAUGGUAUAGAAAAAGCUGAUGUACCUGCUGAAUAUGCAGAAAAAAUGCAAGUUGAGUUCAGACGCUGGAUGAAGUGGUAUGGCAAGGACUACAGCCCGUUUAUGGUCGAGAAAGGAGACUUCCUUAACGAUGAUAUGAUUGAUCGAGUUGCCAAAGCUUCAGUGGUGUUUGUGAAUAACUUCGCCUUCGGACCAAGUGUGGAUCAUCAAUUGAAAGAAAGAUUUGCCAACAUGAAAGAAGGUGCUGUUGUAGUCUCCUCGAAGGCAUUCUGCCCGCUUAAUUUCAGAAUAACAGAUCGCAACCUUAGUGAUAUUGGUAGCAUUAUGCGUGUGGUUGAACUUUCACCUCUAAGAGGCUCUGUGUCAUGGACUGGCAAACCUGUCUCCUAUUUCCUACACACAAUUGACAGAACAAUCUUAGAAAGGUAUUUCAAAAGUUUAACAGAUCCUCAAGUCCGUGAGGAGGAAUACCAAAAGUAUCGAACAAGUUUAAAAAGAAGAGAAAAGGAUGAAUUCAAUGUGGCGAAAAGCAUCGACUUCAGUCAAUCCAGCGAGAAUGAGUCGAUGAGUGGUGGUCCAACCACACGUCGCCAGUGGACCGAGAUAACAUGUGAUGGAAAGGAAAAUGUAAAUAAAACGAUGCAUGAAAAACACUCUAGUAAAAAAGCCGCUCAGAAAAUAUCAAAGAAUGUAUCGUCCAAAUCACAGAAGGACACAGAUAUUGAAGAUGAUAGACUGAGAAGGAAGAAGCUGAAGAAAAAGAAACAGCAAAAGAAACAGAAUGGCCGAGGCCGUGGGCGUCCACGAAAAGAACAAGGUGUGACAACCCAGUCCAAGAAGAAGCACAAACCGUCUUCAGCAACUUGCACUGGCCUGGACUUGUUACACCAACACACUGUCUCUUUGAGCCAGUCCCCUCCCGAUCGAAAGAAAGGGCCAUUUUCUGGUAUGCACAGCCCAUCUUUCAACAUGGCUAGUAUGGUGAAAGCCUCUCAGAGCAACCUAACAUCGCCUAUACGUCUUAACCAGCCUUCAUUGGAACAAGAAGCUGCCAUACAACAGUUGCUGGACCUUUACAGAAUGGAACUAGUGGGCUUUCUCUCAUACAUGAAGACUCCGGACUACCUGGCUCAAAUUCAACAACAACUGCAGGAAGAAAAGGCUCGUCAAGAACAGUUGUAUUUAAAAAAAGCCAACCUAGAGAACCAGAUCCAACAUGUUGUGAAAGACUCUAUGAAUCUGCUUAACAGAAGGCUUUUAGAGCUUGGCGUUGAAGCAAAGACCCCAACAGAACUUAUCAGUCGUGCCAAAGAGAUUGUAACACAACACAAAGACCUCCAGGUGAAAGAGGACAGUGUGCAAAUGCAGAUAACUGAUCUGGAAUCGGAACAUAAUAAAUUGAUUCAAAACAGUGAUGUUGUAACUAAUUUAUUAAUGAAUGCAAAGACAGAGAAAAAGGCGGAUCCCACAAUGUUGAUACGUGAGCAGAUUAUCCAGGAGAUGAACAACAAAAAACAUCUGAAGAAACAUGCCACUAGACUGGAAUCAGAACUUGUUACUUUGAAAAAACAGGCUAUCAAACAAGAAAAGCUCAUGAAAUCUCCAAAGCAAUGUAGGAAGCCACGUCAGAGAAAGAGCCCUGAAACCAGUAAGCCAAAGAUUCGACGUCUGUCAUCCAAAAGUCAGGAGGAUGCAGAUGCCGCUGAGGCACAGCUCAUGCUGCUGAAAUCACUGCAUAAAAAUGCUGCACCGCUCUCCUCACUCGAGGCCCUUACUCAGGAUUCUUUCAUGAAUGGGCCUAAUGUCACAGCCAACACCUCAACAGUACUAUCGAGCAUGCGACCAACCACGGCCAGUAUUCAAAGUGCUGCACACGUUGCCGUGACUACACAAGCCUUUACGUCGGUAAUUCAGCAAUCUACCGGAAUGUUGCCUCCAGCGAGCCAAACAUUAGCUUCACAGGGAUUAGAAGGAAAGCAGCUGCAGAAUGCAAGCUCUACAUCACCUCUUACUAACAUUACUACAGUACCUAUUUCACCAGUGUCACCUGUAUUUACAGGUACGCCACACCCUACCAGUGGCAUCAUAGAAAUCAAAACUGAAUCUCCAACCAUUAUGAAAGACUUAAGCACCCCACCAGUGAAAGGCAAGAGCCUAAGUCAUAGCUAUUCUUUAAUGAAUCCACUGACUUUAAAUCCUAGUAUUGGAUUACCAGUGCCUUCUCCCCAGAAAAUUAUGAAAGUUCAGGAACUGAGAAAAGACCAGUCUUUAGAACAACCACUAAGCCCUCAAAAUGUUGAACUUUACCCAUCAGGAUCACUGACAUUGACUACAACACCAUCUCUAACCUCGCUGUCAAUGCCAUCUCAGUCAAAAGAGGUCACAAUGACAACCAGAUCUUCAAGUACCACAAGAUUGUCCACAGGAAGUAAAGAACCAGUUCCAACUGUGCCAUCAACUAUUCCAAUGAUGGUGCUUGGAUCAGUGCCAACCCCAGUUUACACUAUCCCUAGUUCAGCAUUUGGGCCCCUUACAGCUAAGGCUCCCCAGUUAUUUAUUGGUACAAAUGGACCUGAUGGUGCCAGCAUGAUGAACUCAUCAGCAAAAGAUGGCAAAGGAAAGCCUGAACCUAAAUCCAGAAGAAAUACCAGAAAAAGAUCUCCAGCAUCCUCUUCCCAAGGAGGUAGUACAGCAAAGAAACCAACCACAAAGAAGUCUUCUACUCCAGCUCCCCUUCCAUUGUUACCACCAUCACAAGAUGUCAUAUCUCUAGUGACAACUGCCAGUCAGCCAUUAGACAUCAGUGCCAUUUCAUCACCAGAAGGUUCAGAAGUAUGUGACCAAUUUUCAGCCCUGAAGGAUGACUUGAACAUUCAUCAAGGCAUCAAAGAACCAAUAAUCUCAUCCAGUCAACAAUCUAUACCGAGGAGUGUUAUCACAACAUCUCAGGAAACACCUUCUAGUGCAAAUGUGAUGGAACAGAAGAGGGCAGCAAAUAUAUUUGGAAAUGAUAAAGAUCGAGUUGCAUCUCCUCCUAGUCACCUUCUUACUCCAGGUGGCAAAGUAAAGGACUCGCCUAACAGCAAGAAAUGGCAAGCCAAGAUUAGUAGUGGGUUUGAUGCCUUGAUGGCCUUUGCUUCAAGUGAGGUAUGUAAGAGUAAGGAGAUAAGGCGCCAGAGUUCUGGAAACAGUCCAAGACCCAAAGGUGAAUUGACAAAGGCAGAGCAAGAAAUUCCAAGAGACAUUCUGAAGAAUGAAUCCAUAAACCAACUAAAGAAUGAGUCUAGUAGUGCAACUGAAGCUAUAGGGUCUGAAUGUGUAACCUCUGCUGGCAGUGAAUUACAACUCGAUGCAAUACCUCAAGAAGCAAUGCCACCAGAUAAGGUUGCACAUAAUUUAGAGUCUGUUGACAUCAGUGAUCCAGCACGCAGUGGUCGUCAUGGAGCUGAUGAUGAGAUACAAGCUGCCAUUGCCUCAAUUAGUGCUUUGGAGGAAGUACCAGAGGAACCAAGAGCCACUUCUGAAAUUCCAGAAUCUGUGAGUGAUGACUUUUGGCGACCUAAAACACCUGGAUGUCUACUUCUAAAUUCUGAGUACAAUGAGAAAAUGACAGAGUCUACUAUUUCAGUAAAAAGCUCAACACCAGAUGAAGUUGGAAUGUCAGAAAUCUCGAAUGAUACAUCAUACAUACAUGGCAUCAAUGAAGCUUCAAUUGCACUAGAUUUGCCACCAGUAACAGAAUCUCAUGAAGAUGUACCUAAUGGAACUUUAGGUGUUGGAGAAGAAGUCAAGCUUUUUGGUGAAGGUAAAGAGUCAUUUUCUUGUUAUGGAGAACAGUAUCACAAGAAAUUCUCAAAAAAGGAAGGAAGAGAACAAUUUCAUAAAAAAUUCUCAAUGAAGGAAGGUCGUACAUUUGCCAAACGUUAUGCCCCAUACAAUUCAGUAACACCUGAUAUGCCUGAUGAAAAGUACAGAGAAAUGGCUCCUGUUGUGAAAUCCAGUACUAGCCAGCAGCAGAGCAUUGAGAAGAAUUUCCUAGUAGAUGACAGGCAGACACUUCAGCAAGUUGUUAACAGACCUCUCCAGGUGCCAUCUACAAGUUACUACAUCCCUAAUGGAGUCAUUUCUAGUCCAAACCCUGUUGCAGGAAAUGUUAAAAUUGGAGCCAAGUCCAGACGAAAAUCCAAAUCUAAUACUGCUGGUUCGCUCAAGACUUCUUGGACAAAUUCCGCUACUGGCAACAAUCAACAAAUGAACUUUAACCCAUCGUUCCAUGGUGAGGUGAUUGCAAACAUGAACAAUGUGAACUGCGGACAGCAAACGAAUCAGUUUGGUUCAGCUGUAUCGACGAAUCCAACUGGUAACUUUGUCUCAGGCAAUGCUCAAACAAAUAAUCAACAUUUAAGAUCAGGGAAUUUUAACAAUGUGAAGGACAUGGCAUUUGCAAACCAUGGAUAUGCUUCUAUGGUUAGUAAUCAGUACUUUAAGAAUUCAUACAAUACAAUGGGUCAAAUGCAUGGGCCAUCAGCCAACAUGAAUAUGUCUGUGGGACCCAUGGUAAUGCCUCAGCAGUCAUACUCACAGAGUAACCCUCAAGCUCAUAACUUCUAUCCCCCUUCAACCAAAUUCUUACCCAAUGGAAUGUCACACACUACUACACCUCCCCCUCCUCCUCCACCCCCUCCUUCCCAGUCGUCUAGGAAUAAAUCAAAUAAAAAUACAGAACCACCUCCGCCACCACCCCCUCCUGGUGGCCCCCAAACAUCCUCAAGUCAGUCAUCGGCAAAACUACAGCAUCUCAGACAGAAUUUCCAUGUAGGUCAAAUGUUUGCUGGUAUGAUGCCAUCGUACAACAUGCCUGAUGUGAGUCUGUACUAUUCUAGGAACUACCAACAGCCACAAGUGCCGAUGGCUGGCCCUCAACAGUCUAACACUAACUACCUCAUCCAGCAGAUGCCUCCAAGGUAAUAGCAACAAACCUGGUAGUUUAACAAAAUCCUGUGUACCGUAUAUUCUAGCGUAUAAGAUCAUGCUUAAAAUAGCAAAUUACAAAAAAAACAAAAAACAAAAAAACAGGGAGGUUGUCUUAUACUUGCAACAAGUUUUUUUUUAAAUUUUGUUGUCAUGUGCUCAGCAUCGUAACAUGCAAAUUUAAUACUGAAAUGAAGUUACUAAAUGUUAGUAUGGUUACCAUUGCUUGAUGAGCAAGAAAUGAAUGCCAUACAAGAAGAUUGUUGUUUAAUUUGUUGGUUAAGUUUUAAUUGAUGCUUUUUAAAUGCUGAUACAAUGAAGUCUGUGAACUUUACCAAGCCUAGACUUUGGACUUGUAUGGCGAUUUGAAGGCUAAAUGCAGGCUUGGUCCCAGUGGCUCAUAUCGAAAGGAGAAAUUCCGACAGUCUUAUACGCCUAACAUACAAAAAUCAUCCAAAAAUUUUCUCAAACUUGAGGGUCGUCUUAAACACAAGAAUAUAUGGUACACAGUCAUUGAUUUGUAAUUCUAGAGAAAUUAUUUUACAGAAUUUGUGAUUUCCAUUGAAAGAAAUAUGUGUGUGAACUAUUUAUUUUGAUAGCUAGAAUUACACAACAUUGUCAAAAUACCUCAUUAAUAAAUAACAAAAAAAAAAAUAGAUUUGAUAUCCAGUGUAAAGAAAACAAGGGGGCUCAUUUACAAUUUCUACAAAUCAAAUUGAGUUGUAUUCAUUUAAUGCCUAUUGCUUUUUUUUUUUUUUUUUUUUUUUUAAAUUAGGAUUAGAAUAAUUUCAGGAUGCUAAGAUAUCUUGAGAAUAUUGGUAGAAUUCAAACUUAAGGUGUACUAAAUGAUACUUUUCUCUAAAAUAUGCAAUUCCAUUCAAACUACUUGGUAAGCGUCAUUUUUAAGAAUGACGUUUCGAUGCAUCACCCUCAGACGAUGAACUUAAGUGUAAGCACAAAAACAAAAUCAGUGCAUGUAAAUUUGAUCUAGUCAUUAGCAGCAUUUAAAAUAGUUCUCAAAAGUUUGUUAUUAUCAAUCUGUUUAUGGACCAAAUUGUUUCAAUAAUAUUUUGUAGAGGAAGCCACCAUUGAGUUGAUAGCGUUACAUUAAAUAUUUGUCAUUUGCAUAAUUUCAAUAGGAAUUUUACAAGAAAAUAGAAAAAUAGAUACAAAAAAAAAAAGAAACCAUAUAUUAUAUCAAAAUCAUCCACAGUGGAUCUGUGCUGCAUAGUAGAGCAUAGAGUGGUAAGUCAUUGUACAUGUGUUUUGCAUGUUAGCAUCAUAAAUAGUAGCAUAACAGUCAUUAUUUUGAACAUCUCAUUUUUCACGGUGAUAUUUUAAGAGUUUGAAUUACUAAUUUUCAGUAAGAUGUUGAUAAUUUUGUAUACAGUAUUAGGCUAAAAAUAUUGUUGCCCUAGGUCGGUCAGGAAUUCUUUUAAAAGUACUAUCUAUUUGUCGGACCUAAUGCUAGAGUUCAUAGGUAAACGUCAUCUUAUGUAUUUCGGGCUAAAUUCAGGGGUGAUGUAUCAUUUUAAUUAAAGCUUUAAAAGAUCCCCUGUAAACAUUAUACAAGUAUUUCAGGCCCCUUCAUAUUUUUUCCCCAAAAAGCUCUGACCUUAAAUUGUUUUAAAUUUUCGGUUGAUGAGGCUUCAGGCAACACAAACUUUUUUGGCUUUAGUGUGAGUGAAUGAAUAUAAAUACACAAUACCACAAACCUAAAUAAAAAUUUGCAUGACAAAUUUGAUCAUUAAAACAUGUUAUAAGUAAAUAAUAAUAUAGUGCAAUGCUGCAUGAGAUUCAGUGUGUAGUCUCACAAUAUGUUCUCAUAACAAUUCCAACGUGAGAAAUUUACCCCCGGUGUUAAAACAUGGUGCUAUAACGCCCCUUCCCCCCUCCUACGAUGCUGCAGAUUUCUUUUUACUUACAGGCAAAUGCUGCAUUCAAUACAGUAAAUUUAGUUGUUUAAAAUUUCUCCAUUAAAAACCAUGCAAACUAAAAUGAUAAUUCCUUGCCAUGUUGAUCACUGUAUGUAAUUUGGAUAUGAAAAAAAAAAGUUUUCUUCGUGUUUUUAUGCUCAAAUUAUUCAAAUUAAUUGACAUUUUAUAGUAAAAAUAAAUUGUAACAUUAAUAAUUAUUUGUCAAGUGUCAAGGGAGUGAAAAUUGAUCAAAACAUUUCCAAAAGUUUUGAUUGAAUAUAUACUUUAUACCAUGAAUAUUUAAUUUGUAUUUAGAUAGUUAAAUGAAGCUCAUUUUUACUUUUGCUACAAUGGUGUUCAACAUAAUUACUGUCUCAACUCCUCUUGAUCAGCCUUUAGGGUCUAAAUCCAGACUAAAAAUGUGUAAUUUAAAUGUUGUAGAUGAGGUUCAAGUAUUUGUUACAUUAACAGUAUAAGAUUUGGUGUAAUUUUAGUUACUAGUUAAGAUAUUACUUAAUCUGCAAUGUGAUAUUAAAUAUCUUCAUUAAUUUAUCAUUGAAUUAUAAUUACAUAGGAUAAGGUUAAGUACAUAUUUUUUCUUUUGUAGCUUUUAGUUGAUUUUUAUCAACUAUUUAAUAAUUGACAUUAUUUAAGCACAGACUUUUGAUUGUUACAAUAAUGAGUCCGUAAUUAAUUAAUCCAUAAAUCAACCAAUCAAUUUACCGUAUACUUUUUAGUCCUUACUUAUUGCAUUCAUCCAAGAACUAUUAUAAAUGGAAUCAUCCUAAGCUGUAUUCUUUGAUUGGUUGUUUUACAGCAUGCAGCCUUGUUUCUUAUAAGUUAUAGUGUGGUGGAUGCACUGCCUGUUUUUAAAUUCAGUAUCAUGUUGAUUGUGUUCAAACUCGGUGAGUUAAGCAAGGUGCAAAAAUUAAAGCCACGCUGCAUAAAAAGGUAUUAACACAAAAUUGUAUUAACGUUCUCAUUGACCUUAAUGCUUCCAUUUACUAUAUGAGUUUAUUUAUCAUAAUUAAAAUAUAACCUAAAUUUAUAGUGAAAACCAAAUAGUAAUUGUUAGUGUGGUGAAAAUUUAAUUCAUAUUAAGUUGGUAUAUUAUUGUACACUGAAAUAUGGCUAGUUUUUAAAUUGAUAAGAAUUUUAGUACAACUCAUUUUAUUUUCAACCUUUUAUUUGCGUAACUGCAGUGAUGGACUCGCUAGUACAAUGUAAACUUUUAUGAAUGCGUGAUGGUAUCAUAAUGGUUGGUAUAUUAAAGUGGGUACUGAUGCAAUUAUAAAUACCUAGUAAAUGUGGAUGCCUAUCAUUGGCCAAGUAAGCAAAAAAACAUGUUUUUUGUCAGGAGGAUAAAGCAUUUUCCCCCUUCACAGUUAUGGCUACAUGCAGACACAGUCAUAUAUUUAGGCCUUAGCCAAGCCUAGGCACACAUGGAUAGGCAUUACUUAUGAUGAGUUUUUGCUCAUUUUUUUUUUUGUUUUUGUGUGCAUUAAAAACAAAUAUAUAAAGGGAGUGUAUGAGGAACAUGAUUUUUCUUUUAGGCAGUGAAUAUGCACUCUAAAUCUAACCCUCAAGUAUAGGAAAAUUUGAGUUAUAGCUGGUAAAAUAUACAGUUUUUGUACUAGGUCUUAAAUGUUAUUUUAGAAAUGCAAAUACUUUGGAAUGCUUAAUUACCUGGGAAUGUCACACCCAUAUAGAAUGUAUUGUAUCUUUAUAUGAUAUAAUGAAUUUUGCUGAUGUUUUCUGAGCAAACUGUUUCUGGAUAGCAAUGUGUUACAUACCUUGAAUGUUUUCAGACAUCAGUUCUUAUUUUGAAACAAUUGUAUAUUUUCUAAGAGAUUAAUAGUAAUUAAAGCACCAGUAGAUAUAUGUGGAUAAAAUGUUAAUGUUGAGGUUGGGGACUUAUAUAAUCACAUAAUACAUGGUUUUGAAUUUGCUGCACAGUGUUUUUUCUGGGAGGUGUUUGGUAUUUUAUGCUCCAGAUAUAUGUGUACUGUGUACUGAUCAGUAUACGUGGAGAUACCACAUUUACUAAUUAAUUUGUAUUACAAAUGUGUAAAAUAAUGUCAAUUUUAAAUUGGGUUUUAAUUUAGCGCAUUACACAAGCAAAAUGCCAUUUUGUACGAUGAAUAAUUUGUCAGUUGAGCAUAGACAUACUGUAUGUGAAUUUAAUGAAAUUUUGAUUAUAUUUUUUUUCCUAAGCAGUUACAAAAUCAUAGACUGAUUAAUAAUAUAGCAUUUUUACUUCAUUUAUGUUAACUUUUAUGAUAAAUUAAUGCCUUAUAUGGCCCUUUGUAUACACAGGUAUCGCAGAAAAAGUUUCAAGUAUAAUUUUUGUAUUACUGUACAAUUUGCGGUUGGGUAUUAAUUGCAUUUUUUAAAAUUUAAAUUUAUGGGUCAAGUUAGGUUAAUAUGUUGUGAAUUUUAGCAAAAUUCCAUUGCCUGCAAGCGAAAUUAAAUAAAAUUAGAAAAAUGUUUGGUUUUGUAGAGGUGACUGUUAAAUUACUGCAGCAUUCGUCAAAGUACUAAAUAAAUUGUAUUGUGCCUAUAAUCCACCAGCAUGUUCAAAUAACUAGUUCCAGAAUUAAUUAAAUUUGUUUUGAUUCUAUUUUCUAGAAGUUUUUUUUUAAAUUCAAUUAACAACAGGUUUGUUAUCAAUUAGAAUGGAUAUCUGGGUGAACUUGUUCUAGCUUAACUUCUAAUAAUAAUAAUUAAAUUUUUAAUACAUUUUUAUUGCUUGAAAUGUAACAAAAUAUAUCGAUUUGUAAUUCGUCUAAAGGUGUACACCUCGCCUAUUGAAGUUUGUCUCAGAUGUCAAUGUAGUGUUGAAUAUUUAAUGAUUGUUGAUUUUUUAUAGGGCAUUUCUUAUUCUUCUGCUUUUGUUUAAAUAGCAUAAAACUAUUUAGUGUUUGUGAAAAUAUAUUACAGUAUCUCUAUUGUGACUUUAUUGCUUAAUAGUUUGACAGUGAAUUUUAGAUGUCUAGUAUAAACAAAUUAAUUUUACAUAAUUAUAGCUACUUCUACAGUAGAGUAGAUUUAUUUUCGUACUGUGUGUAAAUGAUAUGUAUAUUGGAUGUAGAUAAAAACAGAUGUAACAUUAUACUAUACACUAAAAUUAUUGUGAAACUAUUCAGGUUUUUGCCUCUGUUUCUAAAUUAUUUUGUCAUGAGAUUAAUUUAGGAAGUGAUCUAAACAUUUAAAUAUUGCUAUUAGUAAAUUUUCUAUUUUUUCUGCCCUGUUGGUUUAACUUUUUCACCAUUUUCAAGACAAUGAUCCAGCUAGCUGAUCAUUGGUUUUUAUGAGGCUGGGGUUUGGUUGUGAGGAAAAAAUCCUGGUUUUUUGCACCUCAACCACCAUACCACACUUCACUUUUAUAUUUUAGUCUGAUUAUAAAGUGAAAUACAUCAGACAUACAGGCUUAUAAUAGAAUCUCUGAAUAACCAAACAUUAUGUUUUCAAUUUUUUUCUUCGAGUUAUAUGCAUGAUAUUUAGAUCAUUGAAUAAAGAAAUUGUAUUGUUUUGUAUUUCUUAUUUAAUUAAUAAUUAACAGUUAAUUGUAAUGGUAUUGUUUUGUGUCAACGUAGACCUAUUAUGCGUGUUAUGGGACAUCAAUUUUUUUGUUGAAAAUGUAUGACAACAUCGUCUCAAUAAACAAAUAAAAGGCACAUCAUUGAAUUCAUUUUUUUAAUAAAUUUGAUAUAUUAUGGAUGUGACGAUGCAGUGGGUAUUAAUUUGACUAGUUAAUUGUCUAUUAUCUUAAUUUAAAAGAGUUUUCCAAUUAAUAUUACACUUCUUUGUUGUGCAAAAUAAAUUGUUAAUUGUAAUUUGA
rnacentral:misc_RNA from 1 species